rnacentral:rRNA from 1 species
AGAGUUUGAUCCUGGCUCAGAUUGAACGCUGGCGGCAUGCCUUACACAUGCAAGUCGAACGAUAACAGCACUUCGGUGGCUGACGAGUGGCGAACGGGUGAGUAAUACAUCGGAACGUGCCCGAGAGUGGGGGAUAACGCAGCGAAAGCUGUGCUAAUACCGCAUACGAUCUACGGAUGAAAGCAGGGGACCGCAAGGCCUUGCGCUCAUGGAGCGGCCGAUGGCAGAUUAGGUAGUUGGUGGGAUAAAAGCUUACCAAGCCGACGAUCUGUAGCUGGUCUGAGAGGACGACCAGCCACACUGGGACUGAGACACGGCCCAGACUCCUACGGGAGGCAGCAGUGGGGAAUUUUGGACAAUGGGCGAAAGCCUGAUCCAGCCAUGCCGCGUGCAGGAUGAAGGCCUUCGGGUU